GAUAAGCUUGGCUCUGACUUUAAGUAUAAUAAAGAACUAAAUAAUACACAUGGUUUUUAUAGAAAGAGGCGAGGCGAAGAAUAAACACUGUUGUCUUAAGAAGAAUAACGGUUAGUUUUUUCUUUAUAGUAUUAUAGAAUUAAAUAAUAUUUUGAAAUGUCCCGCUAACACCAGUGCUGAAGGUUAAAAAAAGAGUGAAAGCUUGCGUUAAUUUAGUUCAUUAAACCUGGUUAACUUGGUGCCAGCAUCCGCGGUUAAACCAAGAAGGUUAAGUUAUAUAUUUUUGGUUAAAAGACAGUUAGAUAAAACCAACUAAAGCUUAUUUAAUUAUUGUUUGGAAGUAAAAUUCGUAGAUAAUAUAGAAAUUUAAUCAUGGCUAAAAAAUCGAAGCUGUGACACCCCCGAGGGAAACUGGGAUUAGAUACCCCAUUAUUCUUGGAGGUAAAAAGGCGAAAGCUUACCAGAGUACUACGGAUUUGUUUCAUUUAAAACUCAAAGAGCUUGGCGGUGUUUUAGACUCUUUAGGGGAACCUGUCUCAUAAUCGACAAUCCACGAUAAACCUGACCUUUAUUUGCUAUCAGUUUGUAUACCGUCGUCGUCGGGUAACUUUUUAGAAAGUAGAAGUUAGCAAGAGAGAAAUGAUAAUCUCCUACGUCAGAUCAAGGUGCAGCCAACAUAAAGGAGAGGAUGGGUUACAAUUAUAAAAGUUAUAACAACGAAAUAAUAACUUGAAAAGUUAUAAAGAAGGAGGACUUGAAAGUAAAACAGAUUAUAUAAACAUCUUGAAUUGAGCUCUGAAACGUGCACACAUCGCCCGUCGCUCUCGUUGAAAAACGAGAUAAGUCGUAACAUAGCAGGGGUAAUGGAAAUUGUCCCUAAACUAAA
rnacentral:ncRNA from 1 species